rnacentral:tRNA from 1 species
CAAGAAGUAGUUUAUUUUAAAGCAUUAAUUUUGGAGAUUAAAGAUAGGUUUUUCUUUUUCUUGA